UCGUUUCCUCGAAACACGACCGCGAACACGUAACGUAAAGCUGCCGGGGAGGUCCUCCUCUCCGGACCCACCGGCCCCGGCCGCUCGGCCGGUCGUCGGAACACGGCGCGGACUGUCGCCAAGGAACACCGAUCUGCCCUCGGCGCGCCGCACUCCGCGGCGCUGUCGUGGCAAAGAGAGAAAC
rnacentral:misc_RNA from 1 species